UGUUCAAAUAGAUUAGAGAGAGGUUUGAGAGUUUUAGAGUGAGAAACAUUACAUUUUUGUUGCAGCCAUUUGAGAGGAAGAAAGAGAAUGUGUACAUUUUCUUUCUAUAUGGAGACAAAAAUUCUAAUUAGGUUAAAUAUUUUCGAUACAGAAGACUUCUUGGUAAGUCUUCUUGACCCUAAAAAGCAAAUACAUGAGAAGACUUCUGGAAUAUUUCUGGAAGACUUUGCUUUAUGCGGAAAAUUUAAAUUCUACUAAAAUUUAUGCGGCAAUAUGUCAGAAGACGUCUUGGUA
rnacentral:lncRNA from 1 species